rnacentral:misc_RNA from 1 species
GACGGAGGGCGCGAGCGUUGUUCGGAAUCACUGGGCGUAAAGCGCGCGCAGGCGGGACUAGCAAGUCGGAAGUGAAAUCCCGGGGCUCAACUCCGGGGCUGCUUCCGAGACUGCGGACCUGGAGACCGGUAGGGGCUGGUGGAAUUCCCGGUGUAGCGGUGGAAUGCGUAGAGAUCGGGAAGAACACCCGUGGCGAAGGCGGCCAGCUGGGCCGGUUCUGACGCUGAGGCGCGAAAGCGUGGGGAGCAAACAGG